GGGAGACAUGUCUGUAUGUAGUGUUAUGCUAUGAGGGUAGGUUAGUGGUAGACAUGUCUGUAUGUAGUGUUAUGAUAUGAGGGUAGGUUAGUGGUAGACAUGCCUGUUUGUAGUGUUAUGAUAUGAGGGUAGGUUAGUGGUAGACAUGUCUGUAUGUAGUGUUAUGAUAUGAGGGUAGGUUAGUGGUAGACAUGUCUGUAUGUAGUGUUAUGGUAUGAGUGUAGGUUAGUGUUAGACAUGUCUGUAUGUAGUGUUAUGAUAUGAGGGUAGGUUAGUGGUAGACAUGUCUGUAUGUAGUGUUAUGAUAUGAGGGGUAGGUUAGUGUUAGACAUGUCUGUAUGUAGUGUUAUGAUGUGAGGGUAGGUUAGUGGUAGACAUGUCUGUAUGUAGUGUUAUGAUAUGAGGGGUAGGUUAAUGUUAUGAUAUGAGGGUAGGUUAGUGGUAGACAUGUCUGUAUGUAGUGUUAUGAUAUGAGGGGUAGGUUAGUGGUAGACAUGUCUGUAGGUAGUGUUAUGAUAUGAGGAUAGGUUAGUGUUAUGAUAUGAGGGUAGGUUAGUGUUAGACAUGUCUGUAUGUAGUGUUAUGAUAUCAGGGUAGGUUAGUGG
rnacentral:lncRNA from 1 species